CGAAAAGGAGGGGGUUCGAGAGAGUCGGACACGCUCCGCUCCAAGUAAGGCGAAUUGCCUGGGAGAGAGAAAGGCCCUCCCGUCUCUCAGAAAAUGCGGCCGGCGGCUACCCAAUCCCAAAGUACCUAUACUUUUGUACGAUUGCUAUUGGUGGGAAGAUCUCAAAAGCGGGCGAAUAAGUUGAAGACCCGAGCGCCGUUUGUUCUGCUGUUGGAAGUCCCUGCAAAUUUAUUCUGCGGAAAAUGCUGACAAAAACAAGUGCAAGAAACAAAUGCUCUAGAGAACUCAGUAAAGCACAUGAAGAUAAGAAGAGAAGAUCAGAAAAUAGUGGGACAAGAAUCAUAUUAUUGGCAGUUCUUUACGGUGCAAAUAUUCCUCAUACCUCUAAGUAAUCAUAUUGACAUGCAAGGUCCUCUAAAUUAAAGGAACUGAAAAAGA